rnacentral:rRNA from 1 species
GAGUUUGAUCAUGGCUCAGGACGAACGCUGGCGGCGUGCCUAAUACAUGCAAGUCGAGCGAGGGUUUUCGGACCCUAGCGGCGGACGGGUGAGUAACACGUAGGCAACCUGCCUCUCAGACCGGGAUAACAUAGGGAAACUUAUGCUAAUACCGGAUAGGUUUUUGGAUUGCAUGAUCCGAAAAGAAAAGAUGGCUUUUUGCUGUCACUGGGAGAUGGGCCUGCGGCGCAUUAGCUAGUUGGUGGGGUAACGGCCUACCAAGGCGACGGAUGCGUAGCCGACCUGAGAGGGUGACCGGCCACACUGGGACUGAGACACGGCCCAGACUCCUACGGGAGGCAGGCAGUAGGGAAUUUUCCACAAUGGACGAAAGUCUGAUGGAGCAACGCCGCGUAAACGAUGAAGGUCUUCGGAUUGUAAAGUUCUGUUGUCAGGGACGAACACGUACCGUUCGAACAGGGCGGUACCUUGACGGUACCUGACGAG